UUGUCACAUUGUCAAAAAUGUCUGAAAACCAACGGGAAUAUUUAUUGUAUUUAAGUGUUAACAUCGCGGAGUAUAAACAAAGAAUCUUUAAGGAGGUAUAAACACUAACACAUUUGUAUCCUGACCAUGUUUUAUCCGAUUAUCUGUUGAAAAAGGCAACAACAGUAGUUUUCAAAGGACUAUGCCAGGAAAAUGAAUUUGCUUUCUGAGUUGAUUGACAUUAGAAUUGUAAGGCAAGAAUAGUAUUGGCAUUAGAAUUGCUCACAUUUAGAACUGGAAAUAUAAGCCCUACCAAGUUUUACUCACCAGCUUUACAACACUCUGAAAAUCCAGAAAAUUGUUUUUUGAAGCUUUAGCAGCAAUUUCAGAAGUGCUUAUCGUUCUGUUUGAGCAUUGGGUGUGGCUGUAAGCUAGGUGGAUUGAGAUUUUUGGUCCGUUUUACAAUGCUGAACUUUCUGCUUAGUGAUUAUUGCUUUCAGGCUUUACUAGUAAGUGAUCUAUAUUCUCUUUGUAGCUUUUUGUAUCUAUAAUAUUAUUUUGUAAUCUCUGUAGUCUUUCUGAACUAUAUUUAUAGCUGUGUGUUUUCUUUGUAAAUGCUGUUAUUGAUUUUCAAGUUGAAAUAAAGUUUUAUUUUUAUUUACUUGGUCUAGUUAUUUAUAGAGAUAUAUAGAAAGUUAUAAUAUAUAUUGGUUAUGAUAUUUCUUUUAAUUAUUGUUUUGUUCUGUUUGAGUUUACGAUUUCAAAAUAUGAACAAGCUGUAAUGAAAAUUGGCAUUCAAUAGAUGUGCAGCCAAUAAACUGAAGAAAAGAUUUAUUUCAGAAGUAUACAUCACAGAAGUAUUAUUUCAGUAUCAUUUCAGAAGUAUUAUUUUUUGACAUGAAUAUCUGUCGCAGAGCAUUCCCAUACAGAUAGGAUGUGUGGUUGUGGUGGGCUUUGGGAAUACAGCACACGAUAGAGUGAACCUCUAUUUGGAAAAGCCAUCAAAAUUGCAAUGGAGAAAUCCUCAUUAGUAGCAUUGUGCUAUUAAAUUUUGGCUCAAAUUGAGCGAGACCCCAGGCAACACUUAUCAGAUGAUUCAAGAGGCCUUUGGUCAUGACUCUGACCAAAUUCCAGUCGGACAGAUGGCACAAGAUGCUCAGAGAAGACUGAGAAAAUGUCAUCCGGUAAAGCCUGCUCUGAACACUGUGGGCUGAAGUUGAAUUCCGAUUGAAGAAUAAGUAUUUGGCUGUCAGGGGACAGACACACUAAGCAUUUUGAAAUGACUGAAGCAAAUGAUUAACUAUGUUAAGAAUUAGAUCAAGGAUGACAGUUCCAUGCAGUCUCAUCAAUAAACAUUGGAGGUGCAAUAAUUCUGUGGCUCUACUAUAAACUUGAUAGUUUUCAAAACUGUAAUUAAAAAAAUGCUCUUGAUUUAAUCCCUGAUACUCAGUAUAUUAAUCUAGAAAAUGAGUACUUCAUUUACUGAGUAGCUUCAGAAACUUUCUAAAAGUAAUAUGCUAUUCCCUGAAUACACUGAAAUGUACUUUUUUCUUGAUGAUGUAGAAACAGAAAUUUGAGAUGUGACAAAAUUAUGACAAAUUAAUUAAACAUGUCCAAAUGAGAGGCAAUACUAUAAUAUAAUUGUAUACUUAUGCUACUUUAUGCUUCACAUACUUACUUUCAUGACUAUCUGUUUUAUCAAAUUUUAGCAAUCUGACAUGACAUAUAGGCUGGCUGCAUGAAGUUGUUCCUCACAUGUAAUGCAAAUGUGUACCAGUUUCUGUAAUAAAGUCCUUCAAGAUAAUGUUCCUCACUUAUGGAGAUAGUCUUUGUAUGCUUUGCCUUAAUUAAUCAAUCAUAUAAUCAGCAAUUUGAUGCAGGAGAGGUCCACAUUAGACUCAGUUUUACUAUUUUUCCUAAAUAUUUAACAUUUUUGAAAAAUGUUUCACUGCUUUUUAAAUAUAUCAGUACAGCAAGUCUAGGAAAAGUGCUGCUAUGCAAGUCUUCAUACAUAACAAAUUAUGUUGUAAUAAAGUAUACAAAAAAGUUGACAAAUACACCCCUAUUACCAUUAAAUGUUUAAUUUUAAAAUCUCAAAACAACCUUUUUUUUUUUUUUUUACAUAAAACUAAAAACAACUAACUUCAUAAAUGACAUCAUGGUUAAUAUUUGUACUGCAAGAUAACAAUAUUUAUUGAUCACUUAAACAAUUUCUAGGUAUGACAUUAGGAUUCUUUUUUCCCACAAUGCCCUUCUUAUUUCCAUCACAGAGAUGUACAAUAUUUAGAUAGAUGAUUUAAAACCAGUAUCAUUUCCAUAUACAAAUUGUAAAUAUGCAACAAACAGCAACAAAAUAAUUUAUAUAAAAGUGGGGGA
rnacentral:lncRNA from 1 species